GAUGAAGAACGUAGUGAAAUGCGAUAAGUAAUGUGAAUUGCAGAAUUCAGUGAAUCAUCGAAUCUUUGAACGCACCUUGCGCUCUUUGGUAUUCCGAAGAGCAUGCCUGUUUGAGUGUCAUGAAAAUAUCAACCUUGACUUGGGUUUUGUGCUCUAGUCUCGGCUUGGAAUUGGGUGCUUGCCGCUUUUACGAGCGGCUCACCUUAAAUGUAUUAGCUGGAUCUGUCUUUGAGACUUGGUUUGACUUGGCGUAAUAAGUAUUUCGCUAAGGACAUUCUUCGGAGUGGCCUCGUUUCUAGGACGCUUGUCCGCUUUCCAAUACAAGUUCCACCUCGUGGACAUGACUUUUUAUUAUCUGGCCUCAAAUCAGGUAGGACUACCCGCUGAACUUAAGCAUAUCAAUAAGCGAGGA
rnacentral:misc_RNA from 1 species